rfam:Erysipelotrichaceae bacterium 3_1_53 genomic scaffold supercont1.10, whole genome shotgun sequence.
UACAGAUAAAUGGGGUGCCUACUCAUGGCUGAGAUCGGAUAUUGAUCCGGGACCCAAGGAACCUGAUACGGGUAAUGCCGGCGUAGGGAUUUUAUUGCGAAAGCGCA